UACGUAGGGGGCAAGCGUUGUUCGGAAUUACUGGGCGUAAAGGGCUCGUAGGCGGCCAACUAAGUCGGACGUGAAAUCCCUCGGCUUAACCGGGGAACUGCGUCCGAUACUGGAUGGCUUGAGUUCGGGAGAGGGAUGCGGAAUUCCGGGUGUAGCGGUGGAAUGCGUAGAGAUCCGGAAGAACACCGGUGGCGAAGGCGGUGAGCUGGGCAAUUGCUGACACUGAGGCGCGGACGAGCGUGGGGAGCAAACAGGG
rnacentral:rRNA from 1 species